CAUGCUCCAGUGCUCUGGGAGAGUUUAUAGUCCUGACAGUUGAACACUGGAUGACUGACAGCUGUCCUUCAUCACAACUGAAGACACAGAAAUCCUCCUCAUCAAAAACAUGACUUUGAUCUGCGUCCUCAUCUGGACUCUCCUCUGCUGCUGCUUCACAGAGGUCAGAGGUCAGGUCACAGUAACUCAGCCUGGAACAGUGCACUCUGCUGUUGGAGAAUCCAUCACAAUCAACUGUAGGACUAGUCAGAGGGUCUACUCUUGGAAUAGCCAGGAUUAUAUGGCUUGGUACCAACAGAAAGAUGGAAAAUUCCCUAAACUUCUGCUGGUUAAUGCUAAUGUACCUGCAGAUGGGAUACCUAGUCGCUUCAGAGGUAGUGGAUCCAGUUCUGACUUCACUCUGACCAUCAGUGAGGUCAGGGCUGAAGAUGCAGCAGUUUACCUUUGUCACUGUGUUCAUGAGGGUUAUAGACCAGGGCCGCACACACAGUCAAAACUCUUCAUACAAAAACUUCCUCCUAAAAUAAACUGA